rnacentral:rRNA from 1 species
UACGAAGGGUGCAAGCGUUAAUCGGAAUUACUGGGCGUAAAGCGUGCGUAGGCGGUUUGUUAAGGCUGCUGUGAAAUCCCCGGGCUCAACCUGGGAAUGGCAGUGGAUACUGGCAAGCUAGAGUGUGUCAGAGGAUGGUGGAAUUCCCGGUGUAGCGGUGAAAUGCGUAGAGAUCGGGAGGAACAUCAGUGGCGAAGGCGGCCAUCUGGGACAACACUGACGCUGAGGCACGAAAGCGUGGGGAGCGAACCGG